GACGAACGCUGGCGGCGUGCCUAAUACAUGCAAGUCGAGCGGACCGAAGGGAGCUUGCUCCUUUAGGUUAGCGGCGGACGGGUGAGUAACACGUGGGCAACCUGCCCUGCAGACUGGGAUAACUUCGGGAAACCGGAGCUAAUACCGGAUAACACCGAAAACCGCAUGGUUUUCGGUUGAAAGGCGGCUUUUAGCUGUCACUGCAGGAUAGGCCCGCGGCGCAUUAGCUAGUUGGUGAGGUAACGGCUCACCAAGGCGACGAUGCGUAGCCGACCUGGGAGGGUGACCGGCCACACUGGGACUGAGGCACGGCCCAGACUCCUACGGGAGGCAGCAGUAGGGAAUCUUCCGCAAUGGACGAAAGUCUGACGGAGCAACGCCGCGUGAGCGAAGAAGGUCUUCGGAUCGUAAAGCUCUGCUGUCAGGGAAGAACAAGUACCGUUCGAAUAGGGCGGUACCUUGACGGUACCUGACGAGGAAGCCACGGCUAACUACGUGCCAGCCGCCGCGGUAA
rnacentral:rRNA from 1 species